GCAGUCUCUCAACUGUUCGAGACUGGGACACAGGAACAGGAGGGAGACAUUCAACUGCUCGAGACUGGGACACAGGAACAGGAGGCAGUCACUCAACUGCCUGAGACUGGGACACAGGAACAGGAGGGUGUCACUCAACCGCUUGAGACUGGGACACAGGAACAGGAGGGAGUCACUCGACUGUUCGAGACUGGGACACAGGAACAGGAGGGAGACAUUCAACUGCUCGAGACUGGGACACAGGAACACGAGGCAGUUAUUCAACUGUUAGAGACUGGGACACAGGAACAGAAGGCCAUCACUCAACUACUCGAGACUGGGACACAGGAACAGAAAGCAGUCAUUCAACUGCUCGAGACUGGGACACAGGGUCCAAUCACAAGAAUGAAAACAAAUAAUAAAGAUACAUCCAAGACCACUGAAAGAAGCGAGAGAUAAACCUUAAGCGCCAAGAUCCCGGAAGACUGUGCGGUAGCAAACGUUGUGCCUUAUUCAAGAAUGGCUGCAAAGAAAAGCCCAGGAAAUAUAGACCAUUACACAGUUCUCCAUUCAGUUGGACAGACGGCUGGUUUGUGAUACAGAGGGAGGCCAACAGUGCAGGCUCGGUUCCCCACACCU